rnacentral:rRNA from 1 species
GAUAAACGCUGGCGGCGUGCCUAAUGCAUGCAAGUCGAACGGUCUAACAGCAAUGUUAGAUAGUGGCAAACGGGUGAGUAACACGUGGGAACCUGCCCAAGAGUGGGGAAUAACUCCUCGAAAGAGGAGCUAAUACCGCAUACGGUCGGUAGUGAGAGCUACACGACUAAAGUUCGUAAGGACGCUUUUGGAGGGGCCUGCGGCCUAUUAGUUAGUUGGUGGGGUAACGGCCUACCAAGACGAUGAUAGGUAGCUGGUCUGAGAGGAUGGACAGCCA